rnacentral:tRNA from 2 species
UCCGGGAUCGUCCAAUUGGCAGGACACCGGCCUUUGGAGCCGUGAAUCGGGGUUCGAGUCCCUGUCCCGGAGCCA